CCAAUUCUAGUUUUGGCCUUUCAUUCAAAGAAUAUUUACACAUCACUGUCUAUCGCCGCCGCUCCGACCUAAGGUUGACUCAAACGGGGAGAAAGCAUAAAGAUAUCUAAAGCUAGGACACUAGCUCAACAAGCCUGCAAAUUCAUCACUCUAAGCCAUAGCAAUGUAUGGAAGCCAUACCUCAAAACUUGCAAGAAGUCCCAAGCCUCUGUCUCUGCCUCUGGCCAACGCUGAUGGAAUUUCGCUGCACUAAAGCAGGCCUGAGCAGCUCCUGAAACUUGUCCAGAAACACUCCCCAUUCUUC
rnacentral:lncRNA from 1 species